GACGAACGCUGGCGGCGCGCUUAACACAUGCAAGUCGAGCGAAGCGGCGGACGGGUGAGUAACACGUGAGUAACCUGCCUUAGACAUUGGGAUAGCCUCGGGAAACCGGGAUUAAUACCAAAUGGUCUAAGAUGGACUCGCGUCCCAUGAGCUAGUUGGGAGGUAACGGCCCACCAAGUCGACGAUGGGUAGCCGGCCGGAGAUGCUGAACGGCCACAUUGGAACUGAGAAACGGUCCAAAUCCUACGGGAUGCAGCAGUGGGGAAUAUUGCACAAUGGAGGGAACUCUGAUGCAGCGACGCCGCGUGAACGAAGAAGGCUUUCGAGUCGUAAAGUUCUUUUAUAUGGGAAGCGGUACCAUAAGAAAAAGCCCCGGCUAACUACGUGCCAGCAGCCGCGGUAAUAC
rnacentral:rRNA from 1 species